CGGAAUUUUAACAGAGCUCCGGGCUCGCGUUUAUUCAGUCCGCGCACUUUCAAAGCUAAAAAAAAACAAAAACAAACAACCUCACAACAGGAAACAGGACUCACUGAAAGCACGAAAGCACGGGAAGAUCGACCAGUGAUUGUCUUGCGACGUAAUGAGCACCCCUGCCUUACUGUUAUGAGUUACUGUACUGUUACAACACUUCCAACAUUGCCAGAGGAACCACUGAGCACUCCCAGUGUCUCAGGGCGCUAUCGGGUUGUUCCUUGCGAGGUGUAUCAGCUCCUUCUCCGCCACCUACUGGGUUGGAGUAUGGAGCGUCGACGUGAAGGCAAAAAAGAGAGAAAAAAACAGCAACAACUAUCGUCUAAAUCCCACUGUACACGUUACUGUCUCAUGGUGUGGAGGGCUGUGAGGUGGUAGAUGGCAUGGCUAAGCAGGCUGGUGUUGUUAAUUUUUUAUUUGUAUUAUUCAUUUUUAUUAUUGUAGCAAAGGUAUAAAGGGUGCAAAUGCGCAAACAUUUUUCACAAACAUUUUUCUCCUCUGAAGGGCUCUGACUGUAAUUAUGUCCUUAUUUAGAAUUAUAAAACAAUUUCAAUAAUACAAUUAUAAAGCAAUGACUCUCAGGAAACCAUAAAAAUGCUGCAUAGUGUAAGUAUUUAUUACAGACAGUUACAUGUGCAUAACACCAUUUCAUUUCAUUCCACAGAUUCAUUAACUGGAUACAAACAUGAACACGGAACAGACAGUAAUACUGAACUCUUAAAAACACCAGGCGGUGCUGUCACACUGAGACUCAGAGGUGAGAAUAUGCUGUAAUGUGUAUUGUAUGAGUAUUUACAAAAUUUGGUCAGUAUAUUAGGUUGGUCUUUGGUGUUGAAAACCCAUCUAACGCUGAGAUUCAGGG